AUAAUCACUUGCCUUUUAAUUGAAGGCUAGAAUGAAAGUACUGACGGGGGGCCACUGACUUAACCUUGGCAGACGAACUUGACCGCGGGGUUAAAAUGCCUCGACGCCCUAGAAGGACGACAAGACCCUAUAAAACUUUACUACCCUAGGUUACCACCCUAAGGCCACCAUUAAGACCGAACGUAGUUUAGCUGGGGCGGCCAACUCCCACCGGGAUCGUAACUUAACACCGUGCGUGACCCCUCGAACAUUUUUAAAUAGAAAGACCAAGUUACUUUAGGGAUAACAGCGCAAUAAUUUCGAAGAGCCCUCAUCGAUGAAAUUGUUUGCGACCUCGAUGUUGAAUUGGGGCCCCCCCCGGAGCAGCUCCCGGGAAUAGGAGGUCUGUUCGACCCUUGAUCCCCCACGUGAU
rnacentral:rRNA from 1 species